GGAACUAUACCCAAGGUUGUACACACACACACACACACACACACACACACACACACACACACACACACACCACUACUUCCCCAAGGGAGCUUAUUGGAGAAGCCGUAGGGGGCAAAUAACAUGAUCUUCGCCUGUUGGGGAAACUUCAUUAUCCAAGAUGGAGUCUCCUGUUGGGAAGGGGAAGGGCAAGGUCUGAGGCAGGCUACCUGACGACCUGCCUGAGCCUCCCGGCCAUAAACAUUCUAAACUGGAGCUGCCGCACUAUGGGCUUUCUUCCUCUGAAGGGCUAUUUUUAUUAUAAUUAUUUGUUUAGGCUUAAUUAACUUCUUUCCCAAUUACAAAAGAAAUCCAUGUUCUCUGUAGAAAAUGUCAAGGCAGUCCGUGACGAUCCUCUUAAUCUCCCUCUCGGAGUGUUCUGACUGUCUGAUGAAGGGAAGACAGAGCACGGGCCCUGAAUCCCGAAAGAAAGACCCGAGUUCAAGUUUGGAUCUGCAACUUGGCAGACGCGCGGCUUUCGAGGAAGGGGCUGCUUCUCUCUUGGCUGCCAUUUCGGAGAGGAGAAGGCUCCUCGGUGCAGCUGACACGAAUGACUAUCCAAGGCAUCAGUAACACUUGAACUCCCUGCUUUAUUAGAGCCAAUUCCUGUGACGUCAUCCAGACGGUGAACCCACAGAAUGUUCUGUGAAACAUCGAGACCCCUGAGACAGAGAGCAGGAGAAUUAGGCCAGCC
rnacentral:lncRNA from 1 species